GGGAUGUGGGUGGCGCUGUGGGUUAAACCACAGAGCCUAGGGCUUGCCGAUCAGAAGGUCGGCGGUUUGAAUCCCCAUGACGGGGUGAGCUCCCGUUGCUCGGUCCCUGCUCCUGCCAACCUAGCAGUUCAAAAGCACAUCAAAGUGCAAGUAGAUAAAUAGGUACCGCUCUAGCGGGAAGGUAAACGGCAUUUCCGUGCGCUGCUCUGGUUCGCCAGAAGUGGCUUAGUCAUGCUGGCCACAUGACC